UACGUAUGUCACGAGCGUUAUCCGGAUUUAUUGGGCGUAAAGCGCGUCUAGGUGGUUAUGUAAGUCUGAUGUGAAAAUGCAGGGCUCAACUCUGUAUUGCGUUGGAAACUGUAUAACUAGAGUACUGGAGAGGUAAGCAGAACUACAAGUGUAGAGGUGAAAUUCGUAGAUAUUUGUAGGAAUGCCGAUGGGGAAGCCAGCUUACUGGACAGAUACUGACGCUGAAGCGCGAAAGCGUGGGUAGCAAACAGG
rnacentral:rRNA from 1 species